AAAGUCGUAACAAGGUUUCCGUAGGUGAACCUGCGGAAGGAUCAUUAAUGAAAUGCAAGGACGCUCUUUUUAGAGGUCCGACCAACUCAUUUACCUUUACACUGUGCACAUACUACUUUUUUACACCAAUUUUUUAACGCAUUAGUUUAAGAAUGUAAAAUCAGUCUCGAAAGAGCAUAAAAUAAAUAAAACUUUCAGCAACGGAUCUCUUGGCUCUC
rnacentral:misc_RNA from 1 species